rnacentral:rRNA from 1 species
GCAUAUCAAUAAGCGGAGGAAAAGAAACCAACAGGGAUUGCCCUAGUAACGGCGAGUGAAGCGGCAACAGCUCAAAUUUGAAAUCUGGCUUCGGCCCGAGUUGUAAUUUGCAGAGGAUGUUUAUGGUGCGGUACCUUCCGAGUUCCCUGGAACGGGACGCCACAGAGGGUGAGAGCCCCGUCUGGUUGGAUACCAAGCCUGUGUUAAACUCCUUCAACGAGUCGAGUAGUUUGGGAAUGCUGCUCUAAAUGGGAGGUAAAUCUCUUCUAAAGCUAAAUACCGGCCAGAGACCGAUAGCGCACAAGUAGAGUGAUCGAAAGAUGAAAAGCACCUUGAAAAGGGGGUUAAACAGUACGUGAAAUUGUUGAAAGGGAAGCGUUUAUGACCAGACUUGUGUCGUGUGGCUCAUCCGAGGUUCUCCCCGGUGCACUCCACACGGCUCAGGCCAACAUCGGUUCUCGUUGGGGGAUAAGAACAGUAGGAACGUGGCCCCUCUCGGGGGGUGUUAUAGCCUAUUGUACGAUACUCUGACGGGGACCGAGGACCGCGCUUCGGCUAGGAUGUUGGCGUAAUGGUCAUUAGCGACCCGUCUUGAAACACGGACCAAGGAGUCGUCCAUUAGAGCGAGCGUUUGGGUGUAAAACCCGCACGCGUAAUGAAAGUGAAAUUAGGUGAGAGCUUCGGCGCAUCAUCGACCGAUCCUGAAGUUUACGGAUGGAUUUGAGUAAGAGUUUUAACGGACGGACCCGAAAGACAGUGAACUAUGCUUGAAUAGGGUGAAGCCAGAGGAAACUCUGGUGGAGGCUCGCAGCGGUUCUGACGUGCAAAUCGAUCGUCAAAUUUGAGCAUGGGGGGCGAAAGACUAAUCGAACUGUCUAGUAGCUGGUUACCGCCGA